CCUACGGGUGGCAGCAGUGGGGAAUAUUGGGCAAUGGGCGCAACUCUUACCCAGCAAUGCCGCGUGAAUGAAGAAGGUCUUCGGGUUGUAAACUUCUUUAAUUGGGGACGAAAAAAGUGACGGUACCCCAGGCAUAAGCCACGGCUAACUACGUGCCAGCAGCCGCGGUAAUACGUAGGUGGCAAGCGUUUUUCGGAAUGACUGGGAGUAAAGGGGGUGUAGGCGGGGUAGCAAGUUAGAAGUGAAAUACCUAGAGCUCAACCCGGGGGCUGCUUUUAAAACUGUUAUUCUUGAGUGCAGGAGAGGCAAGCGGAAUUCCGAGUGUAGCGGUGGAAUGCGUAGAUAUAAGGAGGAACAUCAGUGGCGAAGGCGACUUGCUGGACUGUAACUGACGCUGAGGCACGAAAGCGUGGGGAGCAAACAGGAUUAGAUACCCCAGUAGUC
rnacentral:rRNA from 1 species